CAAGUCGAACGGAGAUUACAGGCGGAAGUUUUCGGAUGGAAGCUUGUAAACUUAGUGGCGGACGGGUGAGUAACACGUGAGCAACCUGCCUAUCAGAGGGGGAUAACGAUUGGAAACGAUCGCUAAUACCGCAUGACAUAGCGGAACCGCAUGGUUCUGUUAUCAAAGAUUUAUCGCUGAUAGAUGGGCUCGCGUCCGAUUAGAUAGUUGGUGGGGUAACGGCCUACCAAGUCGACGAUCGGUAGCCGGACUGAGAGGUCGAACGGCCACAUUGGGACUGAGACACGGCCCAGACUCCUACGGGAGGCAGCAGUGGGGGAUAUUGCACAAUGGGGGAAACCCUGAUGCAGCGACGCCGCGUGAGGGAAGACGGUCCUCUGGAUUGUAAACCUCUGUCUUCGGGGACGAAACGAGACGGUACCCGAGGAGGAAGCCACGGCUAACUACGUGCCAGCAGCCGCGGUAAUACGUAGGUGGCAAGCGUUGUCCGGAAUUACUGGGUGUAAAGGGAGCGUAGGCGGGCAGGCAAGUCAGGCGUGAAAUAUAUCGGCUCAACCGGUAACGGCGCUUGAAACUGCAGGUCUUGAGUGAAGUAGAGGUUGGCGGAAUUCCUAGUGUAGCGGUGAAAUGCGUAGAUAUUAGGAGGAACACCAGUGGCGAAGGCGGCCAACUGGGCUUUUACUGACGCUGAGGCUCGAAAGUGUGGGGAGCAAACAGGAUUAGAUACCCUGGUAGUCCACACCGUAAACGAUGAUUACUAGGUGUGGGGGGACUGACCCCUUCCGUGCCGGAGUUAACACAAUAAGUAAUCCACCUGGGGGAGUACGGCC
rnacentral:rRNA from 1 species